AGCAGCAAGACCUUUAGAACUACUUUCAAAAUUAUUUUUUCAAGCCUUUUUAUAUUUUCUAAAUUUUGUAUACAAGUUUUCUGAUUCAAUGUCGAAGGAGAAGAUCUACGUUUUUGCUUGGAAGUGGCUGUCCUCGCCAACUUUCAGCUGCAUUUCAUUGAUUCCGGCCAGUCCAGCUUCUC